GACAGAGGGUGCAAACGUUGUUCGGAAUCACUGGGCGUAAAGCGUGUGUAGGCUGCCGCGUAAGUCGGAUGUGAAAGCCCCGGGCUCAACCUGGGAAGUGCACUCGAUACUGCGCGGCUGGAGUCCCGGAGAGGUUGGUGGAAUUCUGGGUGUAGAGGUGAAAUUCGUAGAUAUCCAGAGGAACACCGGUGGCGAAGGCGGCCAACUGGACGGAGACUGACGCUGAGACACGAAAGCGUGGGGAGCAAACAGGAUUAGAUACCCUGGUAGUCCACGCCGUAAACGAUGGGUGCUAGGUGUUGCGGGCUUUGACUCUCGCAGCGCCGUAGCUAACGCAUUAAGCACCCCACCUGGGAAGUACGGCCGCAAGGCUAAA
rnacentral:rRNA from 1 species